rnacentral:rRNA from 1 species
GAUGAACGCUGGCGGCGUGCCUAAUACAUGCAAGUCGAGCGAACGGGCGAGAAGCUUGCUUCUCUGAUGUUAGCGGCGGACGGGUGAGUAACACGUGGAUAACCUACCUAUAAGACUGGGGUAACUUCGGGAAACCGGAGCUAAUACCGGAUAAUAUUUUGAACCGCAUGGUUCAAAAGUGAAAGACGGUCUUGCUGUCACUUAUAGAUGGAUCCGCGCUGCAUUAGCUAGUUGGUAAGGUAACGGCUUACCAAGGCAACGAUGCAUAGCCGACCUGAGAGGGUGAUCGGCCACACUGGAACUGAGACACGGUCCAGACUCCUACGGGAGGCAGCAGUAGGGAAUCUUCCGCAAUGGGCGAAAGCCUGACGGAGCAACGCCGCGUGAGUGAUGAAGGUCUUCGGAUCGUAAAACUCUGUUAUUAGGGAAGAACAUAUGUGUAAGUAACUGUGCACAUCUUGACGGUACCUAAUCAGAAAGCCACGGCUAACUACGUG